rnacentral:siRNA from 1 species
CAAACCAAGAUCAAAGGAGGCUGA